AACGACUCUCGACAACGGAUAUCUCGGCUCACGCAUCGAUGAAGAACGUAGCAAAAUGCGAUACUUGGUGUGAAUUGCAGAAUCCCGUGAACCAUCGAGUUUUUGAACGCAAGUUGCGCCCGAAGCCAUUCGGCCGAGGGCACGUCUGCCUGGGCGUCACGCAU
rnacentral:rRNA from 3 species